rnacentral:rRNA from 1 species
GUGUCAGCAGCCGCGGUAAUACAGAGGGUGCGAACGUUGCUCGGAAUUACUGGGCGUAAAGCGCGUGUAGGCGGACAAUCAAGUCGGGUGUGAAAGCCCUGGGCUCAACCCAGGAAUUGCACUCGAAACUGGUUGCCUUGAGUGUUGGAGAGGGAAGCGGAAUUCCUGGUGUAGAGGUGAAAUUCGUAGAUAUCAGGAGGAACACCGGUGGCGAAGGCGGCUUCCUGGACAAUUACUGACGCUGAGACGCGAAAGCGUGGGGAGCAAACAGGAUUAGAUACCCUGGUAGUCC